GAUGAACGUUGGCGGCGUGCCUAAUACAUGCAAGUCGAGCGAACGGACGAGAAGCUUGCUUCUCUGAUGUUAGCGGCGGACGGGUGAGUAACACGUGGAUAACCUACCUAUAAGACUGGGAUAACUUCGGGAAACCGGAGCUAAUACCGGAUAAUAUUUUGAACCGCAUGGUUCAAAAGUGAAAGACGGUCUUGCUGUCACUUAUAGAUGGAUCCGCGCUGCAUUAGCUAGUUGGUAAGGUAACGGCUUACCAAGGCAACGAUGCAUAGCCGACCUGAGAGGGUGAUCGGCCACACUGGAACUGAGACACGGUCCAGACUCCUACGGGAGGCAGCAGUAGGGAAUCUUCCGCAAUGGGCGAAAGCCUGACGGAGCAACGCCGCGUGAGUGAUGAAGGUCUUCGGAUCGUAAAACUCUGUUAUUAGGGAAGAACAUAUGUGUAAAUAACUGUGCACAUCUUGACGGUACCUAAUCAGAAAGCCACGGCUAACUACGUG
rnacentral:rRNA from 1 species